ACUUGUGCAGUGUACUCACCAGUGCCCCCAACAUCUUCUCCCCCGAAAGCGCUUUCAGAUUCGCGCCGAGAUGGGGCGACGCGGCGGCUCUUGAGCGGAAUAACCCGAAGGGCCACGCAAACUGGGGCUUCCAGCCGCGAGCAUGCGGCGGGGCGCCCAGGGCCUGGGGUCGCGCGCUCAGGGCCUGUGCUGCGCCACGCAGGAGGAGGAGAGGGCUGGCCCUGCCGGGCGCGGGUGCGGGCCCGACUGGCUGAAGGAGGAGUGGGGACUGGCUUGGAAGUCUCCGAAGCAGAAAAGUGGGGCCGACAGGAUGGAAUUGGGGGAGGCCGAUUUUGGCUCAGAGAGAUUUCUCUAUUAAGGAAAGCAGUCCAAGAAUAGGCCCCCUGGAAGAGGAAUGCGCUCAAACCCAGAGGGAUUCUCCUUAGAGCUACCUCUUGAGAUUCUGUACUUCGAGGAAAUUAGAGGUUUUUUUAAAUCUCUAUUUUUAAUAAGGUGGGAGGAGGCUGUUGCUCCUUUCUCCUCAACAACAUGAAAUGAUCCUGUGCCUCUAUCCAACAACUCUACAACAAAGCACUGAAUACUUCCCUGACUGGCACUUUCAUGGCUGUUCAUGGGCAUCUCUUGGUCUAUGACGACGAUGUUGGAGAGUUCCUACUCCGUGAUAACUCAGUUCUAAGUGCAAGCAGUCACGUGAAAUGAGCCUGAUAGUCUGCGAAUGAAGAAACUAAAACGAACUAUAUUAUAUACUUCAUAACACAAGACAACGUGCUCGUUUGUUCAUUCUGCAAGUAAAUGCUUAAUGCUUCCUAGGUGGCAGGCUAAAGAAUAUGAUCAUUUUAAAGCAGUCAUGCUUUGAAAAUAAACAACCCAUCCCAGCUGUAAGCUUUUUGAAAGUGUACAAAAUAUGUAAUUGAUGACUCCCUAAAUGGUUUGCAGCUUUGGUAUUUGACUGAAUUGUAAACCAUUAGUUAAACUACAUUUCAGUUAUGCUUUGUAGGAAAAACACUUUCCUAUGCAUUGAAUGUUCUAUAACUAAGGAGCUUAGUAAUCUACUGCUAAAAAUCUCACUGAAAUCUCCAGUUUAAGCGAUUUAAGCAAUUUACAGCUCUUGGCAAAUAUUUGUUUUGGGUUAUAAAACACUUUUUUUCUGACUAGUAAAUUGUUCAUGUUCUUUGUUUCCAGUAAAAU
rnacentral:lncRNA from 1 species